CCAAUAGCGUAUAUUAAAGUUGUUGCAGUUAAAAAUCUCGUAGUUGAAUUUCGGGAUCAGUACGCUGGUCAUGCCUUUGGUAUGUACUGGUGUCACUGGUUUCUCCCUUCUGAAGAACCGUGAUGUCAUUAAUUUGGUGUCGCGGGGAAUCAGGACUGUUACUUUGAAAAAAUUAGAGUGUUUAAAGCAGGCUCACGCUU
rnacentral:rRNA from 1 species